rnacentral:misc_RNA from 1 species
GAUGAAUAACGUAGCGAAAUGCGAUAAGUAAUGUGAAUUGCAGAAUCCAGUGAAUCAUCGAAUCUUUGAACGCACAUUGCGCCCGCCAGUAUUCUGGCGGGCAUGCCUGUCCGAGCGUCAUUUCAACCAUCAAGCCCCAGGCUUGUGUUGGGGACCUGCGUCCGACGCAGGCCCUGAAAACCAGUGGCGGGCUCGCUGUCCACACCGAGCGUAGUAACUAACCUCGCUACGGGAGCGGCGCGGGCGCCUGCCGUAAAACCCCCAAUUUUCACAAGGUUGACCUCGGAUCAGGUAGGAAUACCCGCUGAACUUAAGCAUAUCAAUAAGCGGAGGA